rnacentral:lncRNA from 1 species
UUAGUUUGAUGAAUCCAAAAUAAAUAAAACCAAACACCAAAUCAAAGUUGUCAAUCCCAAAGUAAAUAAAAAAGAAUACCAAAUUAAAACACCACCUGAGCUCAAAUCUUCGGAGCUCGAAUCAUCAUCACCGGAACUUAAAUCGUAAUCGCUGGAGCUCGAAUCUUCAUUGCCAGAGCUCCUUUCAUUUUCUUGGAGAAAAUCACGUGAAUCACCUUCUUUUCACUCUCAUUUUUUAGGUAAAACAAGAAAUGAAGAAGAAAAAAAUACGGGUCCUUGUAAUCCCGCAUGACCUGUUUCGUCUCAUCUCGAAAAAGUCCAGUCCUACAACAACGUGUUCCACGAUGUCUGCUAAUUUGCGGGUCUAGAAAUUCUCGGCCCAGUACCAUUCCACGACAUUUUUUUAUGGAUCAGACCUGCAGUCCAGUUCCAAAAUUGCCACCUCUACAUGCCACAUAGAUAAAUGAACAAUUGGUAUCUAUUAUUAGGCACCACGUUCAUGCUACAUGCCACAUAGAUAAAUGAACAAUUGAUAUCUAUUAUUAGGCACCACGUUCAUGUUUUCUUCAUUGGUUGACUGAUUUCAAUUGUUACAAAAUAUCACAAAAUUUUAAACUUUGAAUGUACAAAAAGCAAACAAUUCGUAAACUGUUGAGAUGGAAAAAGAAAUUAUUCAAGGCUGUAAAACAAUCUGGAUGUUCUGAUUCCUUUUAGAUCAUUUUUUAUUCCAAAAACAAAUCUAUCAGACUAUCAAAAACAAUUUCGAAGUAAAUAAUGAGAUUAAGCUCGGGUUAAAACAGGGUUUCUUAAUACAACAACAAGGACAACCCGCAAGUCACUAUGAGCCUACAGGCUUCCCGUUCAGUUUAGGGAAAGGAUCUUGCUUGCUUAGAACUACCACUUUGCUCUUGUGUGCCAAAUAACCUUUCACAAGGUUUUUGUAAAUCAAGAUCGUCAUUAUACAUUCCACCUGCAAACAAUAGUAUCAGAGCUGUGAGUUUUAUAACAUUUCUAUGCAAAGUAAUCAAAAGCAACGAAUGAGAUGGAAACGUAGAAGAAACCUCAUCGAGAUCCAUGUCUAUCUCAAGCCAUCUAAGUGCUUUAGCAAUCACUUCAAGUUUCAGUUGGUGAGCUCUUGCCGGAUCACUUAGCUUCUGGAUGAUAUAACUGAAACAUUAUUUAAAAAAAAAGAGUUAUGAAACUGUGAAACUGAAGUAAUCUGAGAGUGUUUUGUAACUACUACUUACAUUUUCUUCAUGAGUCUCUGGUAGACUUGGAGCUCCAGCUUUUCCAAGACAAGGUACACACCAGACCUCAAGAACCUGAUUAGUAUUAAAGUUGUUCAGUGAUCUAAUAAUCAAAACUAAACAAUUUUUUUAUGCGAUAGACUAACAAGGGCAUCUCCACUCUCAUUUAACCUUUAGCUCUAUAACUAACCAGUCAUUGCUGAGCUGUCAACACAGCUACAAUACACUAGAAGCCACCUACGCUAAUCACAAUGCUCGUACACUACUAGUUUAAGACAAGGACCUAACAUUAAGAUGUAGAUAAGUACAGUAAGAUGUCAACGGAAAGACAUACCUAUCUUCGUGUUCUUGAAGAGCAUGCCGAAGAAGCCUGAGAUCACCCUUUCUCAGAGCUUGCACAACAUUCAUGUACUGGACACAUAGAAAAGUUUGAUUAAGAGAGAUAAGUUUGACAUAGCACUGAGGAGUAUUUUUGAAAACAAAAAGAAUGGUUGUUACCUCAUGAAGAUUAUACUUUUGUAAGAGCUCAUCUUUUGGUAUGACUCCUAAAGAAAGUUUCACUGGUAUUAAAUACUUCAAUAUCAUCCUGAAUAUAAGCCAAUUAUCCUCAUUAAGCAAUGAAACGCAUGGGGUUAAUCACUAAUCAGAGAGUAAACCCCAAACAUACCUUAUAUUCCGUUCUCUUUUGGGGUUGCAAUGUUGUAAGGCAUAUGAUAGCUUUGUAUCAGCCUGCAAGAUUAAAACAAGAACAUGUCUUUACCAAUAUUUUCAACUAAUACUACAAAACGAACCACAGAAAAUCUAUCAGUGACUCACAGCAGGAAAAUUCUCGUUGAAGACUUCUAAUCUUCCGGUAUAGUACAUAUAUGUAACCUGCAGAGUUAGUGGAGAAAAAGAAAAGCAUAAGAUAAAUGCAUAACUGAAUCAGGAGGCCAGAAACUAAAACAGCACAGGACCUUGUCUCUUCUCGGAAACUCUUCAAAGUCAAAUAUCCGAGCAGUCUCAAUACUUCUUAUUACACUUCGACAAAGAUUGACAGUUCCAAGCUGAAAUAGAGAAACAAGGGGACACAUUUUUAGUAAAUGGUUGAUCAUAUUACAAGAACUAAUAUACCAGCCCUUCUGCUUAUAAUUCCCUUCAUGGCUUCCAUGUUGGUUGGCCUUGUUUGAGGUAAUAAGCUUCAUAAUUUAUUGAUUUGUAGAGAUACUCUUAUAUGUUCCAUGAGAAAGUUCAUUCGACCAUCUGUUUUUAAAUGGUUUGGUGACUUUGAUUGGUUUUUUUCUUUGUUUCAGUUUUGACAUUUUAGGUGAUAAGUUGGGUUUGAACCGAACUGAGUUUCCUCACACAUUUGUAUAUGGUGGCUGGGACUCAGGUCAAUCUUGUAGUACCUUUAUAUCUUCAUAUGUUUUUUUUUGCUGUAGAAUCUUACGUUUAGUUGUUGAAAUCAUGUGAAUGGUUUUUAUCCCCUCCAUUUUAGGCUGAGAAAGCACUUUGGAACUCCAUAGGAUUGUUUAAAAUCAGCAACGUAUCUGGUAAGAGACGUGAUGUAGUACCCAAGACGCUAGUGAAUGGUGAUGAUGGUAUGGAGGAUGAGGAUGAUGAAGAUGAGGACAGUGAUAGCGAUGAGGAAAGCGAAGAUGGAGCUUCCUCUGUUCCUAAUAUUUAGGUAAUGUUCACCUAGUCGAUAGAGUCAUCAUGGUUAAUGCUUUGCCUCAAACAAAAUUUGGGUAUGCAGGUUCGCAGGGUUUCUCACCAUGGAUGUGCCAACCGCAUACGUGCAAUGCCUCAAAAUCCUCAUAUCUGUGUCUCUUGGGCAGAUUAUGCUCAAGUACAGGUAUGAUAUUGUCCAUAUUAUGUUUUUGUCUACUUGCUGUACAUGAUUAUAUGUGUCUCUUAUAAACUGGUUUAUGGUUUUGUAUUUGUGGGACAUGAGUUCUCAUCUAAAUGCUUUAGCAGAAUCAGAAACAGAAGGCAAAGGCAAAUAUGGAACUUCACCGAUUCUUAACCAAGCACCCUUAGUUAACUUUUCUGGCCACAAAGAUGAAGGCUAUGCUUUAGAUUGGAGUCCUGCUACCGCUGGAAGACUUCUCUCCGGUAUAGUUUGUCUCAGAAAUUUUAACAAUACUCAGCUUUUCAACUUAGUCAGUGUGUUUUAAAUUCUUUUCUUAAUCUUUUAGGGGACUGCAUGAGUAUGAUUCAUUUGUGGGAGCCAGCUUCUGGUUCAUGGACUGUUGAUCCUAUUCCCUUAUCUGGACACACCGCAAGUGUUGAAGAUAUACAAGUAAGACUGUUGCUUUGCAGCUAAAUUGUGUGUUGACUGUUACUGUCUCCUUUCGGCUUAAUAUUCUUUCCUCUGUUUCCAGUGGAGUCCAGGUGAAGCCAACGUGUUUGCGUCUUGUUCUGUGGAUGGGACUGUUGCGCUAUGGGAUGUCCGAAGCGGGAAGUAGCCUGCAUUAUCUUUCAAGGUACAUAAGGCAGAUGUGAAUGUCAUCUCAUGGAACAGGUUCUCUUCCCACUUUGAUGUGUAACUUGGUUUUGUGCUGCUUGCAAAUUGGCUCAUUCGUUGUAUUUCCUCUUUCAUGAAGGCUGGCUAGUUGCAUGUUGGCAUCAGGGAGUGAUGACGGGACGUUCUCUAUACAUGAUCUUAGAGUUAUAAAGGUACUCUGAAGACCGUAGGUUUUAUAAUUUUCAUAUCAAUAUCUUAACAAGAUUCUGAUGUGAUAGAAUUUGAAUCUUGAACUAGGAUAAGGAUAAAGCUAAGGUAGCUCAUUUUGGGUAUCAUAAGCAUCCUAUUACGUCGAUUGAGUGGAGCGCUCAUGAAUCCUCGACACUUGCAGUCUCUUCUGGCGAUAACCAGCUCACGUAAGCCACAAAGCUUAUACAGAAAACAUUGAUAAUCCCCAAUAAAAUCCAUAACACUGUCUAAUGUUUUUUUUGGCUAUUUGUUGAAUCUGCAGGAUAUGGGAUUUAUCCUUAGAGAAGGAUGAAGAAGAGUUCAAAGCACAGAGCAAGGAACAAGUCAACACACCUCAAGACUUGCCUCCUCAGCUACUCUUCGUUCACCAGGGGCAAAAGGACUUGAAGGAACUUCACUGGCACAACCAGAUUCCAGGGAUGAUCGUCUCAACUGCGGCUGAUGGUUUCAACAUCUUGAUGCCUUACAAGAUUCAAAACACACUUCCUGAUCUCGCUGCUUGAAAAGAUUAAGUCUUUUGUCAAAUGAAACACUUUUGAAGUAUUGUAGUAUCUUUGAAUCUGUUUUUCUACUUAAUUAUUUUUUGUUUCCAGAACGUACUCUUUUACAAUUCUCAAGGUUUCAUCAUCCGUUGUUUUGACUAAUGUAAAUUUUGAAAUGCAUUCUCUUAGGCCUAGGCAUUCAAAUUCGGUUGAUUUUUAGUACUAUGCUCAUAAAAUUUGAGAUGAUUAUCCAAAAAAUCUAAAAGCUACAGCAAAUUCUCUAAAAAUAUUGUCAAAGCUGAAAAUGAAAUUUUACUAAUAGUUUUAUCAGUGAAAUAAAACUUUGAAUAUUUUCGUUCUUGGAAAAAAGAAUUGACAUUCAAUUUUUUUUUAUUGAGAUUUCAAUAAGUUGAAAUAAAAUGAGAAGAGAAAACACUGUUUUAGUAAAGGAAGCUUAUGUUGAUGAGAAAAUCCUUCUUUCAUUUGGUUAAUUAUGAGAAUCAGAAUAAGAAGACAACAAAACUUUUUUUUCUUCUUGCGGGUCAAAUUUUUGAGUAAACAAAAAGACUCAACCCACAGCAUGGCGGGUCGGGCGGGGUGAGUUUGACCCGCUUCCUAGACCUAACGCUCUAUAACUUGAAACUCCAUAUGAUCUCUCAUAUUUGUAGUAAAUUAAAAUAAUAUAUAUACAUAUAAAAUUACACAUUUAUAUAAAAUUUGUAAAAUCACCCGCACUUUUAAAGCAAGAGUCAAAAUCUAGUUUGUUAUUUAAAACAAUAAUUGUAGUUAAUUUUGUCACACUCCAAAUAUAUUAACAUACCAACUAAAGAUAAUUGCAGAAAAUGUUUUUCAUUAGCUUAUAACUCAUAAAUUCAUAACCAAUUUUUUAGUUUGAUGAAUCCAAAAUAAAUAAAACCAAACACCAAAUCAAAGUUGUCAAUCCCAAAGUAAAUAAAAAAGAAUACCAAAUUAAAACACCACCUGAGCUCAAAUCUUCGGAGCUCGAAUCAUCAUCACCGGAACUUAAAUCGUAAUCGCUGGAGCUCGAAUCUUCAUUGCCAGAGCUCCUUUCAUUUUCUUGGAGAAAAUCACGUGAAUCACCUUCUUUUCACUCUCAUUUUUUAGGUAAAACAAGAAAUGAAGAAGAAAAAAAUACGGGUCCUUGUAAUCCCGCAUGACCUGUUUCGUCUCAUCUCGAAAAAGUCCAGUCCUACAACAACGUGUUCCACGAUGUCUGCUAAUUUGCGGGUCUAGAAAUUCUCGGCCCAGUACCAUUCCACGACAUUUUUUUAUGGAUCAGACCUGCAGUCCAGUUCCAAAAUUGCCACCUC